rnacentral:rRNA from 1 species
UCGAACGCGAAAGCUCCCUUCGGGGAGCAAGUAGAGUGGCGCACGGGUGAGUAACACGUAGGUAAUCUACCUUUGGAUGGGGAAUAACACCGAGAAAUCGGUGCUAAUACCGCAUAAUGCAGCGGCACCUAAUGGUGACAGUUGUUAAAGCGGGGGAUCGCAAGACCUCGCGUCUAAAGAGGAGCCUGCGGCGGAUUAGCUAGUUGGUAAGGUAACGGCUUACCAAGGCGAUGAUCCGUAACCGGCCUGAGAGGGCGGUCGGUCACACUGACACUGACAUACGGGUCAGACUCCUACGGGAGGCAGCAGUCGGGAAUUUUGGGCAAUGGGCGAAAGCCUGACCCAGCAACGCCGCGUGAAGGAUGAAAUCCCUCGGGAUGUAAACUUCGCAAGAACGGGAAGAAUAAGUUGGUGUGAAUAUCACCAGCGAUGACGGUACCGUUUGUAAGCUCCGGCUAACUCCGUGCCAGCAGCCGCGGUAAUACGGGGGGAGCAAGCGUUGUUCGGAUUUACUGGGCGUAAAGGGCGGGUAGGCGGCCACCGCAAGUCAGUUGUGAAAUCUCUGGGCUUAACCCAGAAAGGUCAACUGAUACUGCGGGGCUAGAGUGCAGAAGGGGCAACUGGAAUUCUCGGUGUAGCGGUGAAAUGCGUAGAUUUCGAGAGGAACACCUGCGGCGAAGGCGGGGUUGCUGGGCUGACACUGACGCUGAACUGCGAAAGCUAGGGGAGCGAACGGGAUAGAUACCCCGGUAGUCCUAGCCUUAAACGAUGAUGCUUGGUGUCUGGGGUUUUAUAGUCCCCGGGUGCCGUCGCUAACG